UACGGGGGGGGCAAGCGUUGUUCGGAAUUACUGGGCGUAAAGGGCUCGUAGGCGGUCUACUAAGUCGGAUGUGAAAGCCCUCGGCUCAACUGGGGAGGGUCAUUCGAUACUGAUCGACUCGAAGGCAGGAGAGGGUAGUGGAAUUCCCGGUGUAGUGGUGAAAUGCGUAGAUAUCGGGAGGAACACCAGUGGCGAAGGCGGCGAUCGUGGGCAGAUACUGACGCUGAGGUGCGAAAGCGUGGGGAGCAAACAGG
rnacentral:rRNA from 1 species